AUUGAACGCUGGCGGCAGGCCUAACACAUGCAAGUCGGACGAGCGGCGGACGGGUGAGUAAUGUAUGGGAAACUGCCCGAUGGAGGGGGAUAACUACUGGAAACGGUAGCUAAUACCGCAUACCAUCAGAUGAACCCAUAUGGGAUUAGCUUGUAGGUGGGGUAACGGCUCACCUAGGCGACGAUCCCUAGCUGGUCUGAGAGGAUGACCAGCCAAACUGGGACUGAGACACGGCCCAGACUCCUAAGGGAGGCAGCAGUGGGGAAUAUUGCACAAUGGGCGCAAGCCUGAUGCAGCCAUGCCGCGUGUAUGAAGAAGGCCUUCGGGUUGUAAAGUACUUUCAGUCGGGAGGCGUUACCGGCAGAAGAAGCACCGGCUAACUCCGUGCCAGCAGCCGCGGUAAUUC
rnacentral:rRNA from 1 species